UACAGAGGGUGCGAGCGUUAAUCGGAAUUACUGGGCGUAAAGGGCGCGUAGGCGGCCAUCUAAGUCAGACGUGAAAUCCCCCGGCUUAACCUGGGAACUGCGUCUGAUACUGGAAGGCUUGAGUUUGGGAGAGGGAUGCAGAAUUCCAGGUGUAGCGGUGAAAUGCGUAGAUAUCUGGAGGAAUACCGGUGGCGAAGGCGGCAUCCUGGACUAACACUGACGUUGAGGCGCGAAAGCUAGGGGAGCAAACGGG
rnacentral:rRNA from 1 species